rnacentral:misc_RNA from 1 species
UGGCUCUCAACAUAAUGAUUUUGUGCAAAGGCCGGUAAAGGGGGCAGAUCCUUUUCAAUAGGGUCAGGACUCUUAUGCUCUGCCAUACUGUGGCCAUGUUCAAUCUCUUUAUCAGUAGCUGUCCGCUCCAAAUGCUCAGCAGCAUCAGCAACCAAGGAAACCCCAGCAAUUGCAGCUUUUUCCCAUUUUUUAUAUGCAGCUUGUUUCCGCCUUUGCCUUGCAGGUUUCAUUGCACUCGAGUCUCCUCUAUUGCUGCGAAUAACACCUAUGUUAACAUUGCGCUUUAAUGAUCCUUUUCCAGCUCCUAACCUUUGUAAGUUUUGACUGUCCACAAGAACCAAUUUAACAGUUCUAGUUUCAUGUGCUGAUGCUCUAUUCUGACUUGUAACAGUAUUUGUAACUGUAGCAGGACCAUUUUCCACCUGUGAAGGCCGUUUCCUU